UUAAACUGAAGAGUUUGAUCCUGGCUCAGAUUGAACGCUGGCGGCAUGCCUUACACAUGCAAGUCGAACGGCAGCACGGGUGCUUGCACCUGGUGGCGAGUGGCGAACGGGUGAGUAAUACAUCGGAACAUGUCCUGUAGUGGGGGAUAGCCCGGCGAAAGCCGGAUUAAUACCGCAUACGAUCUAUGGAUGAAAGCGGGGGACCUUCGGGCCUCGCGCUAUAGGGUUGGCCGAUGGCUGAUUAGCUAGUUGGUGGGGUAAAGGCCUACCAAGG
rnacentral:rRNA from 1 species